UAUGAAUUUAUUUAAAUGGCCGCGGUAUUCUGACCGUGCGAAGGUAGCAUAAUCAUUAGUCUUUUAAUUGAAGGCUGGUAUGAAUGGCUGGACGAGAAAAUUUCUGUCUCUGUUAUAAUUUUUGAAUUUGAUUUUUAAGUGAAAAAGCUUAAAUUUUCUUGAGGGACGAUAAGACCCUAUGGAUCUUUAUAGCGAUAUGUAAUAAAAAGUUUAGGUGUGACAGCUUUUUGCUUUAAGUUAUUGGGUUGGGGCGACUGGAAGAAAAAAGUAUCUCUUCUUGAAAAACAAAUAUAAUUUGUAGAAUUAAAAAUGACCCUAAAUUUUGGUUUAACAGAUCAAGUUACCCUAGGGAUAACAGCGUAAUCUUUUUGGAGAGUUCAUAUCGAUGAAAAGGUUUGCGACCUCGAUGUUGGAUUAAGAGAUCCUCACGGCGCAGCAGUUGUGGAGGAAAGUCUGUUCGACUUUUAAAUUCUU
rnacentral:rRNA from 1 species